CUGUAUUUUGUAUUUUACAUUAUAAUUAGAAACUAAUAUUCUAGUUAACGUAUUCGCACAAUGAGGCAAGCACUUUUGAAGAUAAAAUUAAAAUGAUUUCUAAAACUUUGUUGUAUUGAUAGAACAACAAAUGAAAACAAUUGAAUAACAAUACACUUUGUUGUCAAAAAAUAAAUAAAUCGAAAUUGUAAUUUACGAAAUGUUCCGAAUUUCAAGUAAUAAUUCAAAAAUCAAAAACGACAUUAUUUCAUACAAAUUUACUUGAAAAAGGCAAUUUGUAAAAUCUUUUUUAUUAUUUGCUUUUUUUGUGUGAUUUACUUUGAGAGUGUAUGUCCUCAGCACUUUGACAGUUUACUCCAGAUGUUUAUGUUUUCUUUAAAGAUCUCAACCUCGAUCUCAACUAUAAACAAAAUGUGUUGCGUUUAGACAUAAUUCCAUCUUUUUAUCCCUUCUGAAGAAGUACAUUGUGAUAUUUAAUUGGUAAUUGUGAUAUGAAAAUGAAAACAGUUUGCAAUAAGGGUUGGGUUGCGGAGCAAAAAACAAAGUGCCAUUUUCUUUUAGCUUCUCAUCUGGAGCUCGUCUGGGGCGGUGCUGUUUUCGAUUUAGCCGGACCGGAAUGCAAGGUAGGAGAUGAUUAGGAAAAACACAGCCUUUUAAUCUCUAAACCAUUAUGGAAGUCAUCAAGAAUAUGAUAUUCAGCCAAGGCUACUCCCAUCGUUAUUUAAAAAUUAGGAUCAAAAACAAGAUCAAGGGAAAACUUUAUCAUAAGAGGUGCACCAGAGCCAUCAUGGAAAGUGUAAUGUGAAUGUCCGCAAUAAUCCAGCACAGUAAUUAGGAAUGUAUCGUUCCACGACCUCGCAGGAGGAAAUCACCCAUUUCGAAUGCAUCCUUCAUCAAUAGUUUCCGUGGAAUCCAACUAAUUGUGAUAUAGUUUUAAUUUAACAUAUAUAAUUGAUGUUGUGUCUCCAGAUAAUGUGUUAAUCGAACGAAGACCAUAAAUUGAAAUGUAAAUUUUUUUAUUUAAAUAUUUAAGUUUUAUUGAAUGUUAAAAUCAAAUUUAGUUUAAGUUAAAAUAACAUUAAGUUGAUAUUAUGUAGUACUAUCCUGUACUAUCCCAUUAAUUCCACCACUGCAUUUUAACUUAAA